UGCGUAGGCGGCUUGGUAAGUCAGAUGUGAAAUCCUGGGCUCAACCUCGGAACUGCAUUUGAUACUGCCAGGCUAGAGUACUGGAGAGGAGACUGGAAUUUACGGUGUAGCAGUGAAAUGCGUAGAUAUCGUAAGGAAGGCCAGUGGCGAAGGCGAGUCUCUGGACAGUAACUGACGCUGAGGCACGAAGGCUAGGGGAGCAAACG
rnacentral:rRNA from 1 species